rnacentral:rRNA from 1 species
UACGUAGGGGACGAGCGUUGUCCGGAAUUAUUGGGCGUAAAGAGCGUGUAGGCGGCUUAUCAAGUCCUGCGUGAAAUCUCGGGGCUCAACCCCGAGCGGUCGUGGGAAACUGGUUGGCUAGAGUGCGGGAGAGGAGAGUGGAAUUCCCAGUGUAGAGGUGAAAUUCGUAGAUAUUGGGAAGAACACCGGUGGCGAAGGCGGCGACCUGGUCCGAUACU